rnacentral:misc_RNA from 1 species
AGCAGCCGCGGUAAUUCCAGCUCCAAUAGCGUAUAUUAAAGUUGUUGCAGUUAAAAAGCUCGUAGUUGAAUUUCGGGAUUAAUAUGUUGGUCGUGCCUUGGUACGUACUGGCAUUAUUGAUUCCUACCUUCUGAAGAACCUCGAUGUCAUUAAUUUGGUGUCUUGGGGAAUCAGGACCGUUACUUUGAAAAAAAUUAGAGUGUUUAAAGCAGGCUCGCGCUUGAAUACAUUAGCAUGGAAUAAUGAAAUAGGACGUUUGAUUCUAUUUUGUUGGUUUCUAGGAUCGACGUAAUGAUUAAUAGGGAUAGUUGGGGGCAUUAGUAUUCAAUUGUCAGAGGUGAAAUUCUUGGAUUUAUUGAAGACUGACUACUGCGAAAGCAUUUGCCAAGGAUGUUUUCAUUAAUCAAGAACGAAAGUUAGGGGAUCGAAGACGAUCAGAUACCGUCGUAGUCUUAACCAUAAACUAUGCCGACUAGGGAUCGGAUGAUGUUAAUUUUUUAAUGACUCAUUCGG